GCCCGGCUAGCUCAAUCGGUAGAGCGUGAGACUCUUACAGAGUGGACUCUCAUGAGAUCAUCUCAAGGUUGUGGGUUCGACCCCCACGUCGGGCU